rnacentral:rRNA from 1 species
CACGUAGGGUGCGAGCGUUGUCCGGAAUUAUUGGGCGUAAAGAGCUCGUAGGCGGUUUGUCGCGUCUGCCGUGAAAGUCCGGGGCUCAACUCCGGAUCUGCGGUGGGUACGGGCAGACUGGAGUACUGCAGGGGAGACUGGAAUUCCUGGUGUAGCGGUGGAAUGCGCAGAUAUCAGGAGGAACACCGGUGGCGAAGGCGGGUCUCUGGGCCGAUGACUGACGCUGAGGAGCGAAAGCGUGGGGAGCGAACAGG